AAAAUUGAAAGCAAAACCGUAGACAGCGGGUGCGAAAGCUUAAUUUCCCGCCGAGGUACAAUAUAAAAAGUUGUCCUUGUUCGUCUACCGGCGGACAAGGUUUUUUA
rnacentral:sRNA from 1 species